rfam:Bacillus sp. VT-16-64 NODE_166, whole genome shotgun sequence.
AAUCCCUUUUAAAUACAGUCCCGUGAGGCUGGCAAAGGGAGGUUUUAUGGAAGCUGAAUGUAACAGGCUUCUUUUCGCGAACCCUCUUUGCCGUGUUGGGCAAAAAGGGUUUUUUAU